rnacentral:rRNA from 1 species
GAUGAACGCUGGCGGCGUGCCUAAUACAUGCAAGUCGAGCGAACAGACGAGGAGCUUGCUCCUCUGACGUUAGCGGCGGACGUGUGAGUCACACGUGUAUAACCUACCUAUAAGACUGGUAUAACUUCGGGAAACCGGCUCUAAUACCGUAUAAUAUAUUGAACCGCAUGGUUCAAUAGUGAAAGACGGUUUUGCUGUCUCUUAUAGAUGGAUCCGCGCCGCAUUAGCUAGUUGUUAAGGUAACGGCUUAGCAAGGCAACGAUGCGUAGCCGACCGGAGAGGGUGAUAGGCCACACUGGAACUGAGACACGGUCCAGACUCCUACGGGAGGCAGCAGUAGGGAAUCUUCCGCAAUGGGCGAAAGCCUGACGGAGCAACGGCGAGUGAGUGAUGAAGGUGUUCGGAGCGUAAAACUCUGUUAUUAGGGAAGAACAAAUGUGUAAGUAACUAUGCACGUCUUGACGGUACCUAAUCAGAAAGCAACGGCUAACUACGUG